AGAGUUUGAUCAUGGCUCAGGACGAACGCUGGCGGCGUGCUUAACACAUGCAAGUCGAACGAGGUCCAAGCGUUCGCAAGAACGUGGAAGAUCGAGUGGCGAACGGGAGAGUAACACGUGAGGAACCUACCCCGGACUCAGGGAUAACCGACGGAAACGUUGGCUAAUACCUGAUGACGUCGGGGCGUCGCAUGGCGCACUGACGAAAGAACUUCGGUUCGGGAGGGUCUCGCGGCCUAUCAGCUUGUUGGUGGGGUAAUGGCCUACCAAGGCAUCGACGGGUAGCUGGUCUGAGAGGAUGAUCAGCCACACUGGGACUGAGACACGGCCCAGACUCCUACGGGAGGCAGCAGUGGGGAAUCUUGCGCAAUGGGCGAAAGCCUGACGCAGCAACGCCGCGUGCGGGAAGAAGGCCUUAGGGUUGUAAACCGCUUUCAGUAGGAACGAAAAUGACGGUACCUGCAGAAGAAGGUGCGGCCAACUACGUGCCAGCAGCCGCGGUGACACGUAGGCACCAAGCGUUGUCCGGAUUUAUUGGGCGUAAGGAGCUCGUAGGCGGUUGAGUAAGUCGGGUGUGAAAACUCUGGGCUUAACCCAGAGCCGCCACCCGAUACUGCUCUGACUUGAGUUCGGUAGGGGAGCAGGGAAUUCCUAGUGUAGCGGUGAAAUGCGCAGAUAUUAGGAGGAACACCGGUGGCGAAGGCGCUGCUCUGGGCCGAAACUGACGCUGAGGAGCGAAAGCGUGGGUAGCAAACAGGAUUAGAUACCCUAGUAGUCC
rnacentral:rRNA from 1 species